rnacentral:rRNA from 1 species
GUGGAUUAGAUACCCUGGUAGUCCACGCUGUAAACGAUGACGACUAGGUGUGGGGGGGUUCAGUCCCUUCCGUGCCGCAGCUAACGCAUUAAGUCGUCCGCCUGGGGAGUACGGCCGCAAGGUUGAAACUCAAAGGAAUUGACGGGGGCCCGCACAAGCGGUGGAGCAUGUGGUUCAAUUCGAUGCAGAGCGAAGAACCUUACCUGGGCUUGACAUGCAGGAAGUAGGAACCGGAAACGGGGACGACCUGUUAAGUCAGGAACCUGCACAGGUGGUGCACGGCUGUCGUCAACU